rnacentral:rRNA from 1 species
AACGAACGCUGGCGGCAUGCCUAACACAUGCAAGUCGAACGAGACCAUCGGGUCUAGUGGCGCACGGGUGCGUAACGCGUGGGAACCUGCCCUUAGGUUCGGCAUAACUCCCCGAAAGGGGUGCUAAUACCGGAUAAUGUCUUCGGACCAAAGAUUUAUCGCCUUUGGAUGGGCCCGCGUUGGAUUAGCUAGUUGGUAGGGUAAAAGCCUACCAAGGCGACGAUCCAUAGCUGGUCUGAGAGGAUGAUCAGCCACACUGGGACUGAGACACGGCCCAGACUCCUACGGGAGGAAGCAGUGGGGAAUAUUGGACAAUGGGCGAAAGCCGGAUCCAGCAAUGCCGCGUGAGUGAUGAAGGCCUUAGGGUUGUAAAGCUCUUUUACCCGGGAUGAUAAUGACAGUACCGGGAGAAUAAGCUCCGGCUAACUCCGUG